rnacentral:rRNA from 1 species
UACGUAGGCAGCAAGCGUUGUUCGGAGUUACUGGGCGUAAAGGGCGCGUAGGCGGACAGUUUAGUCAGAGGUGAAAGCCCAGGGCUCAACCUUGGAAUUGCCUUUGAUACUGGCUGUCUUGAGUUCGGGAGAGGUGAGUGGAAUGCCGAGUGUAGAGGUGAAAUGCGUAGAGAUGUGGAGGAACACCAGUGGCGAAGGCGGCUCUCUGGUCUGUAACUGACGCUGAGGCGCGAAAGCGUGGGGAGCGAACAGG